rnacentral:misc_RNA from 1 species
AAUGAAAAAAAGUUCGAAGAGCAGGAUGAAGCAAGAGGGGGGAGUGAGGAAAACGAGGUAGAGAGGGGGUGAUUUGGGGGACCUGCGCUUAGUUGCGCGGCUCCUGGGUCGCUUGUUUUUCUGCCUGGUAUGCGUUGCCCUUGUGUGAUGCGCUUUGCUCUCUUUUUUUCUUUGUCCGCCUUUGAUUACACACGGUGGAGUUUCUGCUUUUAUUGAUGGCUUUGGGGGAUGGGGAGAGCGUGAGGAUGUCUUGUUCCUUUCGUAUCUCUCUCGUCCCCCAGAGGUAAACACAAACAAGAUUUUUCAUGAUACACAGCCAGUCAAAACAGAAUUCGAGAAACGAAUUUAGCAAUAUUC